rnacentral:hammerhead_ribozyme from 1 species
GCACUGCUGAGGAGUCCCACAAGAGGACGAAAUGGCCAUCCAGUAC